UAUACAAAGGUUAAAAAAAAAAGCUGCUUAUCUGAGAUUUUGAAAAAAUGCUUAGUAAGCAAAAGCUGUUCUGCUACAUUUCCAUUGUCAAUGUAUCCCCAAGGGGAGAACGAGAGAGAAAUGGAACAGCUUGCUAUGAUCGGCAUUACAUUCCCUUAAGGCUGAACUGUCAGGUCCCUAUUUAUGAUAUGAAUUACUGCAUCCUACUCACCUGGGGACAGCAUGAUUUCUGCUCCCGCUCACUGGACCCCUCUGCAGCAGCUACAGAAUGGAGCACUAGCUAGAGAAGAACAGGAAGAGGAGUACCACUUCUUAAUCUGCCCCCUGCUGGCGGAGGCAGUAGCUAACUAUGAUGAUGGCCCCAAGAAAUAAAAUUAAAAUAAUUCCAGUUGUUCUGGCAAAAAGACCACCCAAGAUGGUUGAGCAAGAAGGUACCACUUCAAACAUGUCUUCUGGAGACUUGUCUAUGCCUUCUAUCAAUAAUAAGCACAUAGAUUUGAACAUUGUUAUUAUCCAAACGCAAAUCAUGACUUUGUGUUUGACUGCAUGCACCAAGGAUAUGUAUCUAAAUGGCCAGCAAACAGCAAAGCAUCUGUUAAGUGCCAUCAAAGUCAAAGUUAUUAGUACUCCUUCUCCAAUUGCUACUUGAACUCCAAAGAUUAUCCAGAAUACAAUUUUGGGACUUUUCACGGCAAGUGCUCGUAUUAUAUUGUAUGCAACACCAAAACAGGAGAAUAAAGAACAACAUAGAAGAUGAUGGCACAGGAGAAAGUAUUGAACUUUUUUCUUCAUUUCAGAGUUCUGCUGCACUGUCUUAAAUAUUAACAAACCAAUUGCAGUAAUGAAGAUGAAAUCAAACAAGUAAAGGGAUGCCUUUAUUAUCUCUAGUUCUUUUGUUUUUGUUGUAUCAUUCAGUGACUUAUUGGAUGAACGCAUCAUCUUCAAAUCUAGCACUUUGGUCCUGGUGAGGAAAAAACAAAACAAGAUGAAGUUUAUCACAAUGUUUUCCAUAUUAUUUUUUUCUACCAUGAGUGCAAUUAUCAAUCAGUAUCAGGGUUAGUAUUUGAUUGUAUACAUUUAUCAUCUGUUUAGACACAGACCUUUACAUUAGAUGUCUUAGUUUUAAUUACGAGAAAAAAUGCAUACCGGAACCUUUAAAGUAUAUGCUGUUCUUUUAGUGGCCUACUUAAAUAUCAAAUUUUUUUUAGUGGCCUACUUAAAAAGAGUUUGCCCUUGACAAGUGUCCACGUAACAACAAACACCACCACACCACAGCUGGUCUAGAUGGCCCUUUGCAGUUUAGAAGAGACAUCAAAGACUAAAUGGGCAAGGAGGCUGAACUACCCUCCCCCACCCUUCCUGAUCAUCCCUCCACAUUAGAGUGGGGGCAUGCUGAUGAUGCAGCAUGGGAAAGGUUGUAUUACCACUGCUCAUAUUCUGUGGAUAAAUACAAAAAUUCAGUCUCCAAAACUGAAUCUCAGACCUUUCACAAGCACUAAAUUCUCUAAGAAAACAGAUGUAGAUCAUAGAUCCAGUAACUUACUCCCCUAGCCAGACCCUUCAGUAUUAGGAUUUCCCCACAUAUGCAUAGGGCAGCCCCCAAUGUCCUCCUUACUAGCAAUCUCAGAGUGGGUAGUAUAUUUGUUCCUUUAUCAGUAUUCAUUGCAUAAGGGGCUUGUUAUAAACAGCAAUUAUAUAAAGUGAUAAAGAGCAGAAUAAUAAUAAUCAAUAAGUCUGAGUGGUUUUACUUAUAGCUUAGAACAUGGAGAUUUUUGAGACCUAACAAUGGAUUCAGGAAUUGGCAGGACAGUUUGUAAACAAUAUGGGGAAGUCAGUGAAGGGGCACCUAAGGGGCAUAAACCCCUCUGAAAGUUUAUUUUAAAAUAUUACCAAGGUAUGAACUUGGUAAUAGGAGCUGUCACCAUUCUGAAAAGCAUACAAAAUACUUUUCUCCAGAAAAAAAUUCAUUUUUCAUUUGUCCAAGUCAGUUUAAUUUUGCCAAUUGUCACUGACAGAAACAUUAAAAUAUUCACUUAUUGACUAAAAAACCCUUAAACAGGAAAAAUCAAAAAUGUUACCUGUGAGCAAAAAUCUUUCGAAUUUGGUCUAUUAUACACAUUUCUCCAUGUUAAGUAUCCUCACACCUUCACCUGUCUAAAUGGGCCAUCUUGAUUAUCACUACAAAAAAGUUUUUUUUUUCUCCUCGUGGUAAUAGCUCAUUAAUUAAUUAGCCUCUUACUCCACCUUUUCAUGUUCUCUAUACGUGUGUAUAUGUAUAUCUUCUUACUACAUGUUCCAUUCUAUGCAUCCGAAGAAGUGGGCUGUAGCCCAUGAAAGCUUAUGCUCAAAUAAAUUUGUUAGUCUCGAAGGUG